rnacentral:lncRNA from 1 species
AAAAAAAUCCUUAUGAACACGGGACUAUAAUCGUGGACUGGGCUCCACGAGGUCUCUAAGUUCAGGAUUUGCGCUGCCCUAGGGCUAGAAGCUCACGCUUAAGCCUUAGACACCCAAAUGAGACACCCACAUGGUUGAUUUUAAUCAAUGAAAUCAAGAGAUGGGUCUGAAUAAUUGGGUUGGUUGUUGAGGUUAAGCCUCAACUCUAUAGACCUACCGCCUAUUCCAGGGUGGUGGUCGAGUAAAUUUAAAGGUCUGCGUUUCGUUUUCAAAGUUUGAGUUAACGAACGAGAGGUAAAUUAAACUAAAACCUAGUCGAUUUAAAAGUUUGAUUUUUUUUACUAAUGCAAACCGUUUCAUUACUCGAGGAUUUAAAUGACAUUUCGGGUUUUAUUUCAACGUUAUGUUUUCUUUGGAUCUAAUAACGAAAAGUGUAAAAGGGAAAUCAACGAGACCUAAGGAACCCUAACCAAUGAAUUUAGGAAUGGACAAAAGGGGCGGGUCAAGCCAGUUCUUGGAAUGGUACUUGACCCGAACUAUUCCCAUCCACCAUCGGGUUAAAUCCUAAAGGAACCCAAGCCUUGAAGUUAGGGAUUUAGAGGUGAACGACGAAAGGAGAAGAUCGAGCAAGUCCCCGGGGUGACACUCAAUCUAACCUCCUCUCUAUUCACCGAAGAUCCACCAAGGUUACGGACCAAGAUUUGGAUUGAGUGGAACACUCAAUCUCUCCUCACUCAUGCCCAAUCAUACGAAAUUACGGAUCCUUAGGGAUUUGACGACACAUGAAAUGAACGGAACUUAACGGGCCUGACGAGGCUACAUGACCCGACGGAGUUUGACGGCAUGGCGAGGGUUUGCUCGAUGACCCAUGUAAAGGAAAAGGGGGGUUCAUAAGAACCUCUAUUGGUAACCAAGGAGGGCUGAUAUGCCCUAAAAGAAAUUCAUGAACUAUAAGAUUGAUUAUAUAUUCACGUACUAAGUUUUUGAAACUUACCCAUGUAAAUGACAAUUUUAUUGCAGAAUAAGGGACGGCUUGGAAUGGACUGGACAGAGGGUUUCACACAUAAAUGGAAUCCUAGGAUAUUAGUUAAAUAAAGAGUCUAUUUGGUUUCCGCUAGUACUUUGAUUUUGUUGUGUACGCCCAUUCGGGCAUAUGGAUCUUGAUUGUAUGUUUAAUUAAAUUUGGGAAUAACCCUAUUUAAAUUAAGAAAAUUCAGGUUAUUACACUGUCAGUCUCAUCUGAAACCCAAUCUGCAUCACUGAAUGCUGAAAUGCUGAAUUCCUUGCUUUUUCUGAGUACAAUUCCCAUACAUUAUGUUCCAGACAGGUAU